rnacentral:rRNA from 1 species
CGAUGAAGCCCAGCUUGCUGGGUGGAUUAGUGGCGAACGGGUGAGUAACACGUGAGUAACCUGCCCUUGACUCUGGGAUAAGCGUUGGAAACGACGUCUAAUACCGGAUACGAGCUUCCACCGCAUGGUGAGUUGCUGGAAAGAAUUUUGGUCAAGGAUGGACUCGCGGCCUAUCAGCUUGUUGGUGAGGUAAUGGCUCACCAAGGCGACGACGGGUAGCCGGCCUGAGAGGGUGACCGGCCACACUGGGACUGAGACACGGCCCAGACUCCUACGGGAGGCAGCAGUGGGGAAUAUUGCACAAUGGGCGAAAGCCUGAUGCAGCAACGCCGCGUGAGGGACGACGGCCUUCGGGUUGUAAACCUCUUUUAGCAGGGAAGAAGCGAAAGUGACGGUACCUGCAGAAAAAGCACCGGCUAACUACGUGCCACGCAGACCGCGGUAAU